rfam:Fungal sp. No.14919 DNA, contig: Contig0015.
ACGUACGACCAUAGCCAUCGGAAAACUCGGGAUCCCGUCCGCUCUCCCAUAGAUAAGCCGGUAUGAGCGUCGGACUAGUAGUUGGGUCGGUGACGACCAGCGAAUCCCCGAUGUUGUACGUU